rnacentral:rRNA from 1 species
AUCUUAGUGGCGGACGGGUGAGUAACGCGUGGGUAACCUGCCUUACACUGGGGGAUAACACUUAGAAAUAGGUGCUAAUACCGCAUAACAGGGAAAGAUGCAUGUCUUUUCCUUGAAAACUCCGGUGGUGUAAGAUGGACCCGCGUCUGAUUAGCUGGUUGGCGGGGUAACGGCCCACCAAGGCGACGAUCAGUAGCCGGCCUGAGAGGGUGAACGGCCACAUUGGGACUGAGACACGGCCCAAACUCCUACGGGAGGCAGCAGUGGGGAAUAUUGGACAAUGGGGGGAACCCUGAUCCAGCGACGCCGCGUGAGUGAAGAAGUAUUUCGGUAUGUAAAGCCCUAUCGGCAGGGAAGAAGAAAUGACGGUACCUGAAUAAGAAGCACCGGCUAAAUACGUGCCAGCAGCCGCGGUAAUACGUAUGGUGCAAGCGUUAUCCGGAUUUACUGGGCGUAAAGGGAGCGCAGGCGGCGCGCCAAGUCUGAUGUGAAACCCCGGGGCUCAACCCCGGGCAUGCAUUGGAAACUGGCGGGCUGGAGUGCCGGAGAGGUAAGCGGAAUUCCUAGUGUAGCGGUGAAAUGCGUAGAUAUUAGGAGGAACACCAGUGGCGAAGGCGGCUUACUGGACGG